AACGAACGCUGGCGGCAUGCCUAACACAUGCAAGUCGAACGAGACCUUCGGGUCUAGUGGCGCACGGGUGCGUAACGCGUGGGAACCUGCCCUUAGGUUCGGAAUAACUCCCCGAAAGGGGUGCUAAUACCGGAUCAUGUCUUCGGACCAAAGAUUUAUCGCCUUUGGAUGGGCCCGCGUUGGAUUAGCUAGUUGGUAGGGUAAAAGCCUACCAAGGCGACGAUCCAUAGCUGGUCUGAGAGGAUGAUCAGCCACACUGGGACUGAGACACGGCCCAGACUCCUACGGGAGGCAGCAGUGGGGAAUAUUGGACAAUGGGCGAAAGCCUGAUCCAGCAAUGCCGCGUGAGUGAUGAAGGCCUUAGGGUUGUAAAGCUCUUUUACCCGGGAUGAUAAUGACAGCACCGGGAGAAUAAGCUCCGGCUAACUCCGUG
rnacentral:rRNA from 1 species